AUUAUGAAAAAUUAUAAGGCAAUAUUGAAUGAGUAUAAACAGACAGCAAAGCAUGCAAUUAUGUUGCCUCUUUGUCUUCUGAUGAUAUCAUGUGCCAUUUUGCAAAAACGGAAUACCAAGAGAGGAAACUGGCCAACAGAGAUGAAAGUGCAGCAAAGAAAAGUGAUGACACCAGAAGUGAAAUGCAAAUUGAACUUGUAAAUGGAGUUACAGAAAAAAAUUGCUGACUGUGGGAAUGUCAAUAUUGCUGUUCAAGAGCCUCUAGACAUGCAACCAGAGGAACUUGCUGAAGGAGGACUUAAUGACAUCGGUGAAUAAGAGUGCUUUCAGAGAUCUCUGCCAGUGCCUGCUCGUCUUAAAAAGCUGCCAGGAGACACAGUGGUAGAGUGGAAACAACAGAAACUGCUGCCAGCAGAUCUGGGGCAUAACUGUACAUCUAUUCCUUACUGGCUAACUAAUGCAAGAGAUACACCAAGCUGAGCAACAAGAAAAGAUCUACUGAAAGUCUCCUUGGCUUUACCAAGAAAGUUGCCGUGGACCCUUAGGUCACAUAGCCUGACCAUGCUCAGAUGAACCAAUGGUGCAACCACAGGAGGAACCUAAGUGCUCAGCUGAGAAGCAGGGACUGAAUCAAGCAGCAGACACGAUGAUAAAGUUUGGAUGUUUGUCCCCUCAAAAUCUCAUGUUAAAAUAUGACCCCAAUGUUGAGAGUGGGGUCUAAUGAGGGAGUCCUCCCAAGAAUGGCUUAGUGCCCUCCAAGAGGAAAUGGCUGGUAAUAAGUUUACACGAGAUUCGGUUGUUAAAAAGAGCCUAGC